ACAAAGGUUAACUAGAAACGGAGAGAGAAGUGUAGUAGUGAUUGAGCAGAAAGUGGGGCGAAGGGAUCCUUUAUGAGAAAGGAUAAACGUUGAGAAAGGUUAAACAUGUAAAGAAGCAUGAAUAAUCAAUGCUGUAGAGGUAAAGUUUGCAAAGACCUAAAAACUAUGGUCAAAUAAGUACAAAAUCUCCCAACAAAAAGAGAAGUAAAGAAUACCGAGGCGGUAUCUACCAUUGUGUUUACCUGAAAGAUCUACACUGAGCUAUCUCGAGGUUGCAGUGGUAGUGACGUGUGUGAGGUUGGCUGAGUUAUGGCUCAUGGAAUCUGUUUUGUGGAAUUCACUCUUCUCACAGAACAUCUGAGAAUAGGGAGCCAUCUGCUACUAUCAUGUAAACAGGCCAAAAGGACUGGGCAGAGGAGCACAAGUCUGGUAUUGCAGCCACAUCUGCUGGCCCAGAUCUCAGCUGGGCUCCUGCCCCAGAGGUAUGGAGGACCCAGGGACACCAAUUCUGGCAAGUAUUUUGGGGUCAUGCUGGUGUUCUGCAGAACAAGGAACAGCUGUAAGGAGUAGGGGUGAUACAGCAGGUUGUGAAAUGAGAUAUGGGCUUAUGUCAGAGUCAUUAAGCAUUUCUGAUAAAUGGGCUGCAAAUUAAUUGCUGGUUCUACUAAUUAAUUCAUUUGAGUUGCUGAAAUCCUCAGGCCUGGCUGUGGUUGUUAGCAGAGCAGAGUGAUACUUCAGCAUGGAGAGAAUUUCUUUCUCCUUCAGCUAAAGAAUUUGGAUUUGGGCUUAGUCGUUGAUGCAGCUUUCCAAAACAUAUCAACAAUAAAAAUAUUAAAUAAUUCAAAAAUACUUUUAAUGCCUAGAAAUAUUUGAGUAGUGAUUUUUGGAAUCAGAAGAGUAAUCAGAGUGCACAUUCUCAUAAAUUGCUAUUGGAUGGCCUGUGGAAUGUACCAAAUGCAAGCAACAGGCCUACAUAGAAUUAUCAUAGUUUUAAUUGGCUACGUAUACACUUCUGCCCUAAAAGGGAAGCUAAGCCAUCUAAAUGGCAAGAUUAGGAGACUGUAACCAUAUGUUCCCACAUACUUCAGAAAUAAAUUCUGAGGUUUUCGUAUAUAUAUGCACACACAAAUAUGUAGAUAUAUAUAUCUAUAUAUAAAAAUACAUACAUGUGUAUAUAUGUGCAUUAUGGAUUUGUAUGUAUAUAUACACAUACAUACAUACACAUAACUUUUUUCUUAUUUUAAAUGAGAAUUCUUUCUUAAGAGGAAAAAAUAUUUUUCUCCAAUAUGUGUCAAUGUAUCUCAAUGGCUUGGUAUUAUAUAAAGGAAAUUUAAAGCAUAUAUUUUAUAUACAUAAUCAAAAAUCCCUUAUACUUAUUUAAAAAUAACUAUAAAAGCAUCUAUUUUUAAAUAGAUGCUUUAAAAUAUACUUAAAUUUUAAAAUGUAUUUUCUACAUUAAUUUAAAUUUUAAUAAUUUAAUUUAAAAUAUAUUGUCUACUUUUUUCUUUUUAAUUUGAUUAGACAAAUAAUAUAUGUACAUUUUUGUGACGGGUCUCACUCUUCUGUCACCCAGGCUAUAGUGCAGUGAAGCAAUAUAACUCACUGUUUUUUCUCUAAAAAUCGAGUGCAGAAAUAGAUUCGAAAUUGAGAGUCCCUGAACCCUCACCUUUUCAUAGAGAUAAGCAUAGAGAUAACCGUAAAUUAUAGAGAUAACCAUAAAUUAUGCUUUCAUAGAGAUAACCGUAAAUUAUUAUGCUUUAUUAAACAAAUGUGGAAUUAAAAUUUAUAUAGUUUUGGAAUAUGUGUAUAUUAUGUACAUGUAUACAGCACAAAUAUAUUUAUAUGUGUUACAUACUAUGCUUUUCCUUGUGCUCAUUUAAGAGUAUUUUUAAUCAUCUUCCCAUGUCCAUUGAUUUAGCUAUCUUUUUAAUGGCUUUAAAAUACUUUUAUAGAUAACCAUGAUAUUUUAAAUUAAAACCCGUAAAUGGGCAUUCAGAUAAUUUCCAACUUUUUAUUGUCACAAACAAUUGUUUCAGCUGGGAGUGGUGGUUCACACCUGUAAUCCCACCACUUUGGGAGGCCAAAGUGGGCAGAUUGCUUGAACUCAGGAGUUCAAGACCAGACUAAGCAACAUAGGGAGACCUCGUCUCUACAAAAAGUAUAAAAAUUAGCCAAACGCAGUGGUAGGCCCCUGUAGUCCCAGUUACUUGGGAGGCUGAGGUGGGAGGAUUGCUUGACCCCAGGGGGUGAAGGUUGUGGUUGUGAUAAGCAGAAGUCAUGCCACGGGACUCUAGCUUGGGCAAUAGAGUCAGACACUGUCUGAAAACAAAAAACAAUUCUUUGUUGAUAAUCUUAAUACAUAACAUCUGUAUAAAUGUGUAUGCUAUUUCUUUUGAAUAAAUUGCUGAAAGUAGAAUGUUCUGCAAACAUACAUGCACGUAAUUUUAAUAUUCAGUCACCAACUGAUAUUGUUUUGUUU
rnacentral:lncRNA from 10 species